GUGGAUGCCAGGGGAAUGGCAAUAAUUUUAAGACUCUGGAUCAAUGUCGCUACGCCUGUGUUGGAGCACCCAUGAAGAGACCCUCCCAGAUUGGAACAAAUGUUUGAACUUGACCCAAAGAGUCUUCUUCAGUCCUGGACCACCCCGGAGACCCUCCCCCCAAACCCCACCCUGGGCUCAUUCCUUUUUUUCUGCAAUAAAGCUUUGGUUCCAGCUGCC